rnacentral:rRNA from 1 species
UACGUAGGGGGCAAGCGUUAUCCGGAUUUACUGGGUGUAAAGGGAGCGCAGGCGGUAUGGCAAGUCAGAUGUGAAAACCCAGGGCUCAACCCUGGGACUGCAUUUGAAACUGCCAUACUGGAGUGCCGGAGAGGUAAGUGGAAUUCCUAGUGUAGCGGUGAAAUGCGUAGAUAUUAGGAGGAACACCAGUGGCGAAGGCGGCUUACUGGACGGUAACUGACGCUGAGGCUCGAAAGCGUGGGGGAGCAAACAGG